rnacentral:rRNA from 1 species
GGAUUAGGCAUGCAAGUCGAACGAGGAUAUAUCCUUCGGGAUAUAAGCCGAGUGGCGCAAGGGUGAGUAAUGCAUAGAUUACCUGCCUCCAGGAUAAGGACAACUUUGUGAAAACGGAGCUAAUACUUAAUAACACAGAAGAAAAUAAUUUUCUUUUGUCAAAUGGAGGGUAGCAAUACCUUUCGCCUAGAGAGGGGUUUAUGUCCUAUCAGCUUGUUGGUGGGGUAAUAGCCUACCAAGGCAAAGACGGGUAGCCGGUUUAAGAGGAUGGUCGGCCACACUGGGACUGAGACACUGCCCAGACUUCUACGGAAGGCUGCAGUCGAGAAUCUUUCGCAAUGCCCGAAAGG